GGAUCAAUAUAUCGGUCAUGCUUAGGUAUGUACUGGUAUUAUUGAUUUCUCCCUUCUGAAGAACCAUGAUGUCAUUUAUUUGAUGUCGUGGGGAAUCAGGACUGUUACUUUGAAAAAAUUAGAGUGUUUAAAGCAGGCUUUCGCUUGAAUACAUUAGCAUGGAAUAAUGAAAUAGGACGUUUGAUUCUAUUUUGUUGGUUUCUAGGAUCGACGUA
rnacentral:rRNA from 2 species